GGGUUGUGAGGUUAAGCGACUAAGCGUACACGGUGGAUGCCCUGGCAGUCAGAGGCGAUGAAGGACGUGCUAAUCUGCGAUAAGCGUCGGUGAGGUGAUAUGAACCGUUAUAACCGGCGAUUUCCGAAUGGGGAAACCCAGUGUGUUUCGACACACUAUCAUUAACUGAAUCCAUAGGUUAAUGAGGCGAACCGGGGGAACUGAAACAUCUAAGUACCCCGAGGAAAAGAAAUCAACCGAGAUUCCCCCAGUAGCGGCGAGCGAACGGGGAGGAGCCCAGAGCCUGAAUCAGUGUGUGUGUUAGUGGAAGCGUCUGGAAAGGCGCGCGAUACAGGGUGACAGCCCCGUACACAAAAAUGCACAUAUUGUGAGCUCGAUGAGUAGGGCGGGACACGUGGUAUCCUGUCUGAAUAUGGGGGGACCAUCCUCCAAGGCUAAAUACUCCUGACUGACCGAUAGUGAACCAGUACCGUGAGGGAAAGGCGAAAAGAACCCCGGCGAGGGGAGUGAAAAAGAACCUGAAACCGUGUACGUACAAGCAGUGGGAGCCUCUUAAUGGGGUGACUGCGUACCUUUUGUAUAAUGGGUCAGCGACUUAUAUUCUGUAGCAAGGUUAACCGAAUAGGGGAGCCGAAGGGAAACCGAGUCUUAACUGGGCGCUAAGUUGCAGGGUAUAGACCCGAAACCCGGUGAUCUAGCCAUGGGCAGGUUGAAGGUUGGGUAACACUAACUGGAGGACCGAACCGACUAAUGUUGAAAAAUUAGCGGAUGACUUGUGGCUGGGGGUGAAAGGCCAAUCAAACCGGGAGAUAGCUGGUUCUCCCCGAAAGCUAUUUAGGUAGCGCCUCGUGAAUUCAUCUCCGGGGGUAGAGCACUGUUUCGGCAAGGGGGUCAUCCCGACUUACCAACCCGAUGCAAACUGCGAAUACCGGAGAAUGUUAUCACGGGAGACACACGGCGGGUGCUAACGUCCGUCGUGAAGAGGGAAACAACCCAGACCGCCAGCUAAGGUCCCAAAGUCAUGGUUAAGUGGGAAACGAUGUGGGAAGGCCCAGACAGCCAGGAUGUUGGCUUAGAAGCAGCCAUCAUUUAAAGAAAGCGUAAUAGCUCACUGGUCGAGUCGGCCUGCGCGGAAGAUGUAACGGGGCUAAACCAUGCACCGAAGCUGCGGCAGCGACACUAUGUGUUGUUGGGUAGGGGAGCGUUCUGUAAGCCUGUGAAGGUGGCCUGUGAGGGUUGCUGGAGGUAUCAGAAGUGCGAAUGCUGACAUAAGUAACGAUAAAGCGGGUGAAAAGCCCGCUCGCCGGAAGACCAAGGGUUCCUGUCCAACGUUAAUCGGGGCAGGGUGAGUCGACCCCUAAGGCGAGGCCGAAAGGCGUAGUCGAUGGGAAACAGGUUAAUAUUCCUGUACUUGGUGUUACUGCGAAGGGGGGACGGAGAAGGCUAUGUUGGCCGGGCGACGGUUGUCCCGGUUUAAGCGUGUAGGCUGGUUUUCCAGGCAAAUCCGGAAAACCAAGGCUGAGGCGUGAUGACGAGGCACUACGGUGCUGAAGCGACAAAUGCCCUGCUUCCAGGAAAAGCCUCUAAGCAUCAGGUAACAUCAAAUCGUACCCCAAACCGACACAGGUGGUCAGGUAGAGAAUACCAAGGCGCUUGAGAGAACUCGGGUGAAGGAACUAGGCAAAAUGGUGCCGUAACUUCGGGAGAAGGCACGCUGAUAUGUAGGUGAAGCGACUUGCUCGUGGAGCUGAAAUCAGUCGAAGAUACCAGCUGGCUGCAACUGUUUAUUAAAAACACAGCACUGUGCAAACACGAAAGUGGACGUAUACGGUGUGACGCCUGCCCGGUGCCGGAAGGUUAAUUGAUGGGGUUAGCGGCAACGCGAAGCUCUUGAUCGAAGCCCCGGUAAACGGCGGCCGUAACUAUAACGGUCCUAAGGUAGCGAAAUUCCUUGUCGGGUAAGUUCCGACCUGCACGAAUGGCGUAAUGAUGGCCAGGCUGUCUCCACCCGAGACUCAGUGAAAUUGAACUCGCUGUGAAGAUGCAGUGUACCCGCGGCAAGACGGAAAGACCCCGUGAACCUUUACUAUAGCUUGACACUGAACAUUGAGCCUUGAUGUGUAGGAUAGGUGGGAGGCUUUGAAGUGUGGACGCCAGUCUGCAUGGAGCCGACCUUGAAAUACCACCCUUUAAUGUUUGAUGUUCUAACGUUGGCCCGUAAUCCGGGUUGCGGACAGUGUCUGGUGGGUAGUUUGACUGGGGCGGUCUCCUCCUAAAGAGUAACGGAGGAGCACGAAGGUUGGCUAAUCCUGGUCGGACAUCAGGAGGUUAGUGCAAUGGCAUAAGCCAGCUUGACUGCGAGCGUGACGGCGCGAGCAGGUGCGAAAGCAGGUCAUAGUGAUCCGGUGGUUCUGAAUGGAAGGGCCAUCGCUCAACGGAUAAAAGGUACUCCGGGGAUAACAGGCUGAUACCGCCCAAGAGUUCAUAUCGACGGCGGUGUUUGGCACCUCGAUGUCGGCUCAUCACAUCCUGGGGCUGAAGUAGGUCCCAAGGGUAUGGCUGUUCGCCAUUUAAAGUGGUACGCGAGCUGGGUUUAGAACGUCGUGAGACAGUUCGGUCCCUAUCUGCCGUGGGCGCUGGAGAACUGAGGGGGGCUGCUCCUAGUACGAGAGGACCGGAGUGGACGCAUCACUGGUGUUCGGGUUGUCAUGCCAAUGGCACUGCCCGGUAGCUAAAUGCGGAAGAGAUAAGUGCUGAAAGCAUCUAAGCACGAAACUUGCCCCGAGAUGAGUUCUCCCUGACUCCUUGAGGGUCCUGAAGGAACGUUGAAGACGACGACGUUGAUAGGCCGGGUGUGUAAGCGCAGCGAUGCGUUGAGCUAACCGGUACUAAUGAACCGUGAGGCUUAACCUUACAACGCCGAAG
rnacentral:rRNA from 1 species